CCUACGGGAGGCAGCAGUGGGGAAUAUUGCACAAUGGGGGAAACCCUGAUGCAGCGACGCCGCGUGAGUGAAGAAGUAUUUCGGUAUGUAAAGCUCUAUCAGCAGGGAAGAAAAUGACGGUACGUGAUUAAGAAGCCCCGGCUAACUACGGGCCAGCAGCCGCGGGCAUACGUAGGGGGCAAGCGUUAUACGGAUUUACGGGGUGUAAAGGGAGAGUAGACGGGAGCACAAGUCUGGAGUGAAAUGCCGGGGCUUAACCCCGGAACUGCUUUUGAAACUGUGCAGCUAGAGUGCGGGAGAUGUAAGUGGCAUUCCUUGUGUAGCGGUGACAUGCGUAGAUAUUAGG
rnacentral:rRNA from 1 species